rnacentral:tRNA from 1 species
GGCCGGAUGGUGUAGUUGGUUAUCACAUUUCGUUUACAUUUACCCAAUAAAUGUUGUACCGAAAAGGUCCAGGGAUCGAGCCCCUGUCUGGUCA